AAGAAAUCGUUAUUACUUUGUGUGAGCUUGAAAUGUUUUUUCCUCCAUCAUUUUUUGACAUAAUGGUACAUCUAGUUGUUCAUCUUGUGAAAGAGACACAAUUGUGUGGACCAGCUUAUAUGAGAUGGAUGUACCCUGUUGAACGUUAUAUGAAAAUAUUAAAAGGGUACGUGAAGAACCGAAGUCGACCAGAAGGUUGUAUGGUUGAAAGAUACAUUGUUGAAGAAGCGAUUGAGUUUUGUACUGAAUAUUUGUCUAAUGUUCAGUCAAUCAGACUCCCCAAGUCUCAGCUUGUCGAAAAGAAAGAAGGAAAAAAUCUAAUUGGAAAUAAAAUCGUGGCAGUAUCAAGGGUCGAACGGGAUCAAGUGCAUUUGUAUGUUCUGCACAAUGAGAAUGAGGUUGAGCCGUAUGUUGAAAUUCACAAGGAUGUUCUCCGAGGUUUAAAUCCCAAUAGAAAUGAAAAUUGGAUAGUACGAGAGCAUAAUCGAUGUUUUAUACCUUGGUUUAAGGAUCAUAUUUAUUCAAAGUAUUAUUCAGAUCCCGCUUCAAUAACAGAAAGGUUGAGAUGCUUAGCAUAUGGUCCAAGUUUCCAUGUUUUUUCUUAUAGCGCAUACGCGAUUAAUGGAUACACAUUUUAUACCAAAGAACAAGAUGAUAAAAGUACUAUGCAGAAUAGUGGUGUCACCGUGGUAGCUGAAGCAAUGCACAUAUCAAGUGUGAAGGACUUAAACCCCAAAUUUGCAAAUCUGUCGUAUUUUGGUGUUAUCGAGCGCAUUUGGGUGUUUGAUUAUGAGAAGUUUCAGAUUCCUAUAUUUGGUUGCAAGUGGGUUGAAAAUAAUAACGGCAUUCGAAUGGAUAAGUCAGGAUUUUUGCAAGUGGAUCUUAAUAGGGUGGGAUACAAAGAUGAGUCUUUUAUUCUAGCCUCUCAAGCUAGACAAGUGUUCUAUGUCAAUGAUCCGAAAAGUACGAAAUGGUCUAUAGUUCUUUUUUCCAACAAAGUAAUUGAUGAAAACACUGGAGAUCAAGGUGAUAUUGAUGUUGAGAUUGAAUCGUUUACCAGAAAUGAUCAAGAUGAGAAUAUUAUAUCAAAUGAUUCAUAUAUUAGAAAUGAUCAUAAUGAGGGUAUUUGGAUCAAUCCAACCGUCCGUGUUGUUAAGAGACAUGUAGAACAUAUUCCAACCAAGAAAAUAAAGAGAACUUAGUGAAAAAGGUACAGGUCAAAUGAUUUUAAUUGUUUUCUUUAUUACAGGUAAAAUGACUUUUAUGAUUUUAAUUGUUUUUACAUUUGUCAUCUGAUUUUAAUUGUUUUCUUUUUUACAGGUAAAAUGAUGAUGCUGGAUAUUUGUUUAGAUGGAGAUGCUCUAUUGUCGUCAAGCCUCAUUCGCGUAGAUGAUGAUGCUGGAUAUUUGAAAGUAUCCCUCUACGACAAUGGAACAUGUCCAUCUAAACAUAUAUCAAUUCUAUCUUCAAAAGAUAAGGGUUCAAUGUUGGCAAGUUACAUUGAUUUCCUUGUUCGACAACAUAUUCCGAUUACAUGUGAUAAUUGGAGAAGUCCGGACUUGAAGGUUGGCAAAGAAAAAAUAUGGUCGGAGAUACAGGCUUGUGUCUCAAUAGAGGAUGGGUAUCUACCUAAAGUUGCUUUUGUAGUGGUCCAAAAGAGACAUCACACCCGUCUCUUUCCUGUCAACCCCAAAGAGACCGAUAGAAGUGGAAAUAUUAUGCCAGGAACCGUGGUAGACACCAGCAUUUGUCACCCUAGGGAAUUUGAUUUUUACCUUAACAGCCAUGCAGGAAUUCAGGGGACUACUUAUGCUGCCAUCUGUUGUUUUGGUUGAGCCUUAUUUUGUAUGGAUGUGCGAUAGAACUACUAGACAGCUUUUGGAUAUACAGAACAUGUUUGCCACCAUGGGUGGAUGGGCGUUUUUGUUUAGUAUUGGUUAGAACUACUAGACAGCUUUUGGAUACAGUGGUCACUGGGUGUUGGUUGCUAUGUUUUAUUCUCUUAAUUGUAGUACUUUGAGAAUAUGUUGUUGUAUAUUGUUGAUCAAAGAAUCAUAUAUUAAUGUUGUAUAUAUGGAGGAUUAAUGUUGUAUAUAAAUGGAUUAAUGUUGUAUAUAUCAAUGGAUUAAUGGU